rnacentral:tRNA from 1 species
GGAAAUGUGCCUGAAUGUUAGGGGUCACUAUGAUAAAGUGAACAUAGAGGUUUACCAAUCCUCUCAUUUCCU